UGGAUAGCUCAGUUGGUAGAACAUGACACCCUUAAUCUCAGGGCUGUUGGUUUGAGCCCCACAUUGGGCAAAA